rnacentral:rRNA from 1 species
AGUGAACGCUGGCGGUAGGCCUAACACAUGCAAGUCGAACGGCAGCACAGUAAGAGCUUGCUCUUACGGGUGGCGAGUGGCGGACGGGUGAGGAAUACAUCGGAAUCUACUUUUUCGUGGGGGAUAACUUAGGGAAACUUACGCUAAUACCGCAUACGACCUACGGGUGAAAGCAGGGGAUCUUCGGACCUUGCGCGAUUGAAUGAGCCGAUGUCGGAUUAGCUAGUUGGCGGGGUAAAGGCCCACCAAGGCGACGAUCCGUAGCUGGUCUGAGAGGAUGAUCAGCCACACUGGAACUGAGACACGGUCCAGACUCCUACGGGAGGCAGCAGUGGGGAAUAUUGGACAAUGGGCGCAAGCCUGAUCCAGCCAUACCGCGUGGGUGAAGAAGGCCUUCGGGUUGUAAAGCCCUUUUGUUGGGAAAGAAAAGCAGCAGGUUAAUACCCCGCUGUUCUGACGGUACCAAAAGAAUAAGCACCGGCUAACUUCGUG